rnacentral:lncRNA from 10 species
UUAAAACUAGAGAGGAUCUAGGAACUGGAGCUGCUGCCUCUGUCUGCUAAGAUGUGAAGUCCAAGACUGAAAGUAACAUAGCAGAAGGAGAACCAAAAGAUAUGUUGAGUCUUGAUGCUAUUUGUUGAACCAGUCCUGAAUCCAGCUGUGUCGGAGUCAGCGCAGCUUUUGAAGCUGGAGAGCAUCAUAUUUUAGAAAGAUCAAGCAAUGUGGAUGAGGACACAUUAAAAAGAGAAGACCGAGAGGAGGGGACACCACUCAGGCUUAUAACCUCCAGCUCACAUUUCAGCACCAAAGGACCAAAGCCUAGACCUGAGAUCUGGCACUUGCAAAAAGAAAGAUCACCUGGAAGAACAAAAUAGAAGACUCCUGCUCCCAAUAGGCUUGGGUCAGGAAGAAGGCUGUUGGCAUAAUUGUGGAGUAGGAAGAUGGAAAACAACUCCUAGAGAUCCCAACAGCUGAACGCGUGCUUGGGCAGUGGCUGCGGGUGAAGUCAUGGGAAGGCAAGUCAUGAAGGGCAUUAAUCAAGGUUAUUUUUUCCACAGAUGAAUUUCUAAUCCUAAAUAAUCAUUUACAUGAAUUCAGAUUUUUUUGAUCCAGGGAAUUAUACCGGUGGCACUAGAGAUGUAAAUGAGAUCUGUUAGUGAGCAGUGAGAAUGCAUGGAAAGAAAAAUCUGACACUAGUGUGGAGAAUGAACUUCUUGGACGAGCAAACAGAGACCGGAAGUAGAGCAGUGAACGACAGUCAACUGCACCUAUGGAGAUGGCUGGCAAAGCUGGAGAAGUGGCUGAAGUCCUUGGGAGUGUGAAGAGGGGAUGGCCAAGGAUGGAGCCCUGAGGAAUCUCAACAACCAAAGGGUAGGUGA